UUAUCAUCUUGGAACAAUAUGUUUUCCACAUGGUAGUACGCCGUAUUGCCGUUAGAGUUUGAUGAAUGUUUAAAAUCAGUAUGCCUCACCUGCUGCAACAAGCUCGUGGAUUUUCUCUAUUAUAAGCGGAUGGACCCCAUUGGAAAUGCCGCACACUUCUCCAUGAUGUUGGAACGAUGUAGUCUGGAUACACGGUUAACUCCCUAACAGUGAUCUGGGCCUUACACCCAAGCUUUUUAGUUGGCUGCACUCGAAAUCGUCUUUUUUGGCCAGUUGGAUGGCCGUUGGUUCCCUAUAGUAUAGGUUGAAGUGUACUGCAGUUAAUGUUAAAAAUGAUUUGUUCAAAAGUAUAUUAUCUAUUAUUAUUACGUUAUAGGUGUGGUUCGAGUUUAUAGAGUUUAAUAUUUCAGGUUUCAAGACUACGUACCUCUUCAGAAUCUCUAUUUGUCGGCCUGCAGGGUCCAUAAAUACACUCUAGUAACCGUAUUCCAUUGAUACAAAACGGAGUGCCAAAAAAUGGUAUGGAUAGAUCACCAACAUUGCUGCUCCAUCUCAAACUACCUUUAAUAACAACAAUUAUUACAAAAAAUGUUGAUAAUUUUAUUUAUAAUUAUAUAUUUACAACAACUGAUGAGUAACGUGAGUUAUGAACAAAAUUUAUAGUGAGUGAAAAGUGGAACUUUCCUCGAAAGAAUACAAUUUUUCACGUGUAAAAUACUACAAGUGCAA